UAUAGAAUAAAAAUGUCUAAUGAAAAGAAACAACUUUGCAAAUCUGUUUAUGAAAAAUGUUUAAAAGCAUUUGCAAACAAACCAAAGCAAAAGUCUCAAGAAAAAACAAAUAAAAUCUGGUCUGAGAUCAAAACGAAGAACAAAACAUUACUUGAUAUAAAUGUAGAAGUUGAAAAAAAACUGAAAGAAUAAAGCAAAUUGAACUUCGAAAUAAGGUUGGUCUUUUUAUCUUACUGGACAAAAUUACAAAACUAUACACCAAAAAAGCUUGUGAUUGAAUCUAAAAUCACUUUUGAUGACUUGGCUGAUGCAACCCCAUUAAUUACAAAUAAUUAAACAGUGAAAAAGGCUUACAAGAAAACUUACAAGAAAACUCCAAUUCGUUAAAAGUUUUAAAAAGACCUGCACCAAAACAAGUUAUAAUCUCGAUACUUAUGCGGAUUAUUUGAAAUUUCUGCAUCAAGCUUAGCCUUGAAACUGUUAGCUGAUGAAGCGCAUACAACUUCUGACGGCAAUGCAUUCCAAUCAUUCACUAUUCGAUUAGUAAAAAGCUGGUGCUUUUGCUCGCAAUUUUGAACAUAUUCUCUAGUUAUUUUUAGAUGAUGUCCUCUAGUUUUUAUUUUAUCUAACUCCCCAACACGAAGGACAUGGGGUUCAUUCUAUGAGACAAUGUCUAUAUGGUUAAUAAUUUUAUAGGCCUGUAUCAGAUCUCCCCUAAUGCGACGGGUUUCUAAAGACGUUAAGUUUAGUAUAAUUAGACAAUCUUUGAAUGAUAUAUGACGGUACGAAGGUAUUAAACGGGUAACUCUUCUUUGUACUUUCUCGAUUUUGUCAAUAUCUAUUCUUGAUGAUGGAUUACUGGCUGCUACCGCAAGUUCCAGAUGAGGUUGUACAAAGGUUGUAUAUAGAAUUUUAAGUAGUUGCGGAGUCAUGUGACUAAAAGUACGAUACAACAUGCCUAAUACACGCUUAGCUUUAUUGGUUGCAAAAGUUUAGUGUCAUCGGCAUACAUUUUACAUGGAUAGUUAACAAUAUCGGGUAUAUCGUUCACAAAAAUGAUAAAAAGUAUUGGAACUAAUACGGAUCCUUGAGGGACGCCACUAAAUACCUCAAGCCAAAAGGAAACAUAAUCGCCCAUCACGAUUCGUUGAAAACGCUGGUGUAAAAACAAUUUUAUCCACUUCAGGAGAUAUAGGAACCUUAUCAAAUGCUUUACUGAAAUCUAUAAAAGCUACGUCCAUAGAUAUCUUGUCAGAUAAUGCUUUUGACAUCAUGUCAAUCGACUCCAACAAAUUAGUCACACAAGCUUUUUUAUUGACAAAACCAUGUUGAUUUUUUUGAAUUAAGAUUCUGUUUUACUAAAUGAUUGACCAUAGUGUCACGUAAUAUUUUCUCCAUCACUUUACAUACAAAUGAUGUUUAGGAUAUAGGCCGGUAAUUGCCUGGGUCGAGUCUACUUCCGUUUUUAAACAGUGGUGUUACAUUAGCUUUUUUCCAUACUUCAGGACAACACCCACUAUCUAGCGACUUCUGAAAAAUUGGGCAUAAAGGUAUUGAGGAGCUAUCAGAACAGUUCUUCAGUACAUAUGCGCUAACACCAUCCAAACCAACAGUUUUAUCAACUGAUAAAACGAUUCAAUCGCUCAGCUUGUUUUUAACCAGAUCUUGAUUUAUUUGCGAAUAUUUGCAGAUGGCUUUAGUUUGUUUUAUAAAAUAUGGCAGUUCAUCGUCUUCAUUUUAAAGAUAAUAUAAAGAAUAUAAAGUAAUUGGCUACGAAUAUGGCUAAAAUUAUGAACAAUAACUUUGAAAAAACAUUUAAAUUUUUUGAAAGUAACUAUUUUAGCUUAGACGAUGAAUCCGACUGAGAUAUAAAUUAUUAUGAAAUUAAUUCUGAGUUUGAA
rnacentral:lncRNA from 1 species